CGGCGGACGGGUGAGUAACGCGUGGGUAACCUGCCCUAUACAGGGGGAUAACAGUUAGAAAUGAUUGCUAAUACCGCAUAAGCGCACGGAGCCGCAUGGCGCUGAGUAGAAAAACGAUAGUGGUAUAGGAGGGACCCGCGUCUGAUUAGGUAGUUGGUGAGGUAACGGCCCACCAAGCCGACGAUCAGUAGCCGACCUGAGAGGGUGACCGGCCACCAUUGGGACGUGAGACACGGCCCAAACUCCUACGGAAGGCAGCAG
rnacentral:rRNA from 1 species